GAGAGAGAGAGAAUUUUAAUAUUUAUUUUUUAGUUUUCGGCAGACACAACAUCUUUGUUUGCUGAUUGGUGCCCUUAAAGUCCUCACAGACACCUGGCGCAGACGAGGACACAGCCUUGACAAGGUAAAGAAUUUCAUCGUAUGCCACUCAUUAUUAGUGGAGGAAAAACUUAAGUUGAUCUUUUGGGAAAGCCUUCCUGGAGCACCUUACAACAAGUAGAACCCCGCCCCUCUUUGUCCCCUUAUACUUUUGCUUCCUUUUAUAAACACAUAUAGUGCCACUUGAAAUAUUUUUCUCUCCUCCAAUAGGACGUUCUUAUUAUAGAAAGGACUUUUGUUUUCUCCUGUAUCUUUAAACAGUCCUUGGCAUUUGGAAUUAAUAAAUGAAUAAAAGACUAGGAUGAACUUUGA